rnacentral:snRNA from 1 species
GGAUGUGAGGGCGAUCUGGCUGCGACAUCUGUCACCCCAUUGAUCGCCAGGGUUGAUUCGGCUGAUCUGGCUGGCUAGGCGGGUGUCCCCUUCCUCCCUCACCGCUCCAUGUGCGUCCCUCCCGAAGCUGCGCGCUCGGUCGAAGAGGACGACCUUCCCCGAUAGAGGAGGACCGUUCUUCGGUCAAGGGUAUACGAGUAGCUGCGCUCCCCUGCUAGAACCUCCAAACAAGCUCUCAAGGUCCACAUUAACCACAUGGGAAGGGGAAUCCAUAGGACUCUU